CCUACGGGGGGCAGCAGUGGGGAAUAUUGGGCAAUGGGCGCAAGCCUGACCCAGCAACGCCGCGUGAAGGAAGAAGGCCCUCGGGUUGUAAACUUCUUUUGUCAGGGACGAAACAAAUGACGGUACCUGACGAAUAAGCCACGGCUAACUACGUGCCAGCAGCCGCUGCAAUACGGAGGUGGCAAGCGUUAUGCGGAUUUACGGGGUGUAAAGGGCGUGUAGGCGGGAGAGCAAGUCAGAUGUGAAAUUCCAGGGCUCAACCCUGGAACUGCAUUUGAAACUGUUUUUCUUGAGUGAUGGAGAGGCAGGCGGAAUGCCGGGUGUAGCGGUGAAAUGCGUAGAUAUACGGAGGAACACCAGUGGCGAAGGCAGCCUGCUGGACAUUAACUGACGCUGAGGCGCGAAAGCGUGGGGAGCAAACAGGAUUAGAUACCCUUGUAGUC
rnacentral:rRNA from 1 species